CUUGCUCUCUGGGUGACGAGCGGCGGACGGGUGAGUAAUGUCUGGGAAACUGCCUGAUGGAGGGGGAUAACUACUGGAAACGGUAGCUAAUACCGCAUGACCUCGCAAGAGCAAAGUGGGGGACCUUCGGGCCUCACGCCAUCGGAUGUGCCCAGAUGGGAUUAGCUAGUAGGUGGGGUAAUGGCUCACCUAGGCGACGAUCCCUAGCUGGUCUGAGAGGAUGACCAGCCACACUGGAACUGAGACACGGUCCAGACUCCUACGGGAGGCAGCAGUGGGGAAUAUUGCACAAUGGGCGCAAGCCUGAUGCAGCCAUGCCGCGUGUGUGAAGAAGGCCUUAGGGUUGUAAAGCACUUUCAGCGAGGAGGAAGGCGUUGCAGUUAAUAGCUGCAGCGAUUGACGUUACUCGCAGAAGAAGCACCGGCUAACUCCGUGCCAGCAGCCGCGGUAAUACGGAGGGUGCAAGCGUUAAUCGGAAUUACUGGGCGUAAAGCGCACGCAGGCGGUUUGUUAAGUCAGAUGUGAAAUCCCCGAGCUUAACUUGGGAACUGCAUUUGAAACUGGCAAGCUAGAGUCUUGUAGAGGGGGGUAGAAUUCCAGGUGUAGCGGUGAAAUGCGUAGAGAUCUGGAGGAAUACCGGUGGCGAAGGCGGCCCCCUGGACAAAGACUGACGCUCAGGUGCGAAAGCGUGGGGAGCAAAC
rnacentral:rRNA from 3 species